GAAAUGCGAUAAGUAUUGUGAAUUGCAGAAUUCAGUGAAUCAUCGAAUCUUUGAACGCACCUUGCGCUCCUUGGUAUUCCUUGGAGCAUGCCUGUUUGAGUAUCAUGAAAUCUUCAAAGUAAAUCUUUUGUUAACUCAAUUGGUUUCUACUUUGGUAUUGGAGGUCUUUGCAGCUUCACACCUGCUCCUCUUUGUUCAUUAGCUGGAUCUCAGUGUUAUGCUUGGUUCCACUCGGCGUGAUAAGUUAUCUAUCGCUGAGGACACUGUAAAAGGUGGCCAAGGUAAAUGCAGAUGAACCGCUUCUAAUAGUCCAUUGACUUGGACAAUACUUUUAUGAUCUGAUCUCAAAUCAGGUAGGACUACCCGCUGAACUUAAGC
rnacentral:misc_RNA from 1 species